UGGGGAAUAUUGGGCAAUGGGCGCAAGCCUGACCCAGCAACGCCGCGUGAAGGAAGAAGGCUUUCGGGUUGUAAACUUCUUUUGUCAGGGACGAUAAUGACGGUACCUGACGAAUAAGCUCCGGCUAACUACGUGCCAGCAGCCGCGGUAAUACGUAGGGAGCAAGCGUUAUCCGGAUUUACUGGGUGUAAAGGGCGUGUAGGCGGGACUGCAAGUCAGAUGUGAAAACUAUGGGCUCAACUCAUAGCCUGCAUUUGAAACUGUAGUUCUUGAGUGGUGGAGAGGCAAAUGGAAUUCCUAGUGUAGCGGUGAAAUGCGUAGAUAUUAGGAAGAACACCAGUGGCGAAGGCGAUUUGCUGGACACUAACUGACGCUGAGGCGCGAAAGCGUGGGGAGCAAACA
rnacentral:rRNA from 2 species